AUAACGGUCCUAAGGUAGCGAAAUUCCUUGGCAUUUAAUUGGUGUCCUGCAUGAAAGGCGUAACGACUGUUCUACUGUCUCCAACAUAAACUUUGUGAAAUUGAAUUUUUUGUGAAGAUGCAAAAUUAUUGCGGCUAGACGGAAAGACCCUGUGCACCUUUACUAUAUUUAUAUAUUGUUAUGAAAAUUUAAGUGUAAAGUAUAAGUGGUAAUUUGUAAAUUUUUUGCGUAAGCAAAUCAAAAUAAAAUAAAAUUGAAAUACCACUCUUUUAAAUUUUUCAUGACUAAUUUUAAAACAUUUUAUAAAAGGUAGUUUGACUGGGGCGGUGGCCUCCAAAAGAGUAACGGAGGCGUAUAAAAGGUAAAUUAAAAUUGAAUUUCAAUUUUUUAGCACAAUAGUAUAUAUUUGCUUGACUGCUAGAUUGACAAAUCAAACAGGGACGAAAGUCGAUUAUAGUGAUCCGAUAUUUUUUUGUAGAAAAAAUAUCGCUCAACGAAUAAAAGGUACGCCAGGGAUAACAGGCUAAUCAUUUUUUAGAGACCAUAUCGAUGAAAUGGUUUGGCACCUCGAUGUUGGAUUAUCGCAUCCUAGAGCUGCAAAUGGUUCUAAGGGUUUGGCUGUUCGCCACUUAAAGCGGUACAUGAUCUGAGUUUAGAACGUCGUGAGACAGUUUGGUCCCUAUCUACCGUAUUUAAAUAAAAAUUGCGAGGAUUAAAUUCUAGUACGAGAGGACCGAAAAAAGCAAAUCUCUGGUAAAUCGAUUGUUAAACCAUUAGCAAAGUCGAGUAGCUAAAUUUGUAAUAAAUAAUUGCUGAAAGCAUCUAAGCAAGAAAUUAGCCUCAAGAUAAAUUUUUAGCAAUAUAAAAGACUAUUAUAUCGAUAGGCUUAAAGUGCAAGAGUUGUAAAAUUUUAAGCUUAUAAGUACUAA
rnacentral:rRNA from 1 species